rnacentral:rRNA from 1 species
UACGUAGGGUGCAAGCGUUGUCCGGAAUUAUUGGGCGUAAAGAGCUCGUAGGCGGUCUGUCACGUCGGCUGUGAAAACCCGAGGCUCAACCUCGGGCCUGCAGUCGAUACGGGCAAACUAGAGUACUGCAGGGGAGACUGGAAUUCCUGGUGUAGCGGUGAAAUGCGUAGAUAUCGAGAGGAACACCUGCGGCGAAGGCGGGUUGCUGGCCCGAUACUGACGCUGAGGCACGAAAGCGUGGGGAGCAAACAGG